rnacentral:rRNA from 1 species
GAUGAACGCUAGCUACAGGCUUAACACAUGCAAGUCGAGGGGCAGCAUGUCGGUUGCUUGCAACCGACGAUGGCGACCGGCGCACGGGUGAGUAACGCGUAUCCAACCUACCCUUGUCCAUCGGAUAACCCGUCGAAAGGCGGACUAACACGAGAUGCGGUUCUCAGCAGGCAUCUAACGAGAACGAAAUGUGAAGGCGAAGGAGGGGGAUGCGUCUGAUUAGCUGGUUGGCGGGGUAACGGCCCACCAAGGCGACGAUCAGUAGGGGUUCUGAGAGGAAGGUCCCCCACAUUGGAACUGAGACACGGUCCAAACUCCUACGGGAGGCAGCAGUGAGGAAUAUUGGUCAAUGGACGAGAGUCUGAACCAGCCAAGUAGCGUGCAGGAAGACGGCCCUAUGGGUUGUAAACUGCUUUUAUAGGGGGAUAAAGUGUGCCACGUGUGGCAUAUUGCAGGUACCCUAUGAAUAAGGACCGGCUAAUUCCGUGCCAGCCGCCGCAGUAACAC